GUGCUCUCUUUGGCAACACAUACACUCAAACUUGAACUAUAUAGAGAAGGUUAUCAUGGCCCCUGCACAAGGAUGACAUGCAAAUUUGUGAAGUGUUCCAUAUUUUG
ensembl:snRNA U6 U6 spliceosomal RNA